rnacentral:rRNA from 1 species
UACGAAGGGGGCUAGCGUUGCUCGGAAUCACUGGGCGUAAAGCGCACGUAGGCGGAUCUUUAAGUCAGGGGUGAAAUCCUGGAGCUCAACUCCAGAACUGCCUUUGAUACUGGAAAGCUUGAGUUCGGGAGAGGUGAGUGGAACUGCGAGUGUAGAGGUGAAAUUCGUAGAUAUUCGCAAGAACACCAGUGGCGAAGGCGGCUCACUGGCCCGAUACUGACGCUGAGGUGCGAAAGCGUGGGGAGCAAACAGG